UACCCAUGCAGUCGAACGAUGAUUAUCUAGCUUGCUAGAUAUGAUUAGUGGCGGACGGGUGAGUAACAUUUAGGAAUCUGCCUAGUAGUGGGGGAUAGCUCGGGGAAACUCGAAUUAAUACCGCAUACGACCUACGGGUGAAAGGGGGCGCAAGCUCUUGCUAUUAGAUGAGCCUAAAUCAGAUUAGCUAGUUGGUGGGGUAAAGGCCCACCAAGGCGACGAUCUGUAACUGGUCUGAGAGGAUGAUCAGUCACACCGGAACUGAGACACGGUCCGGACUCCUACGGGAGGCAGCAGUGGGGAAUAUUGGACAAUGGGGGCAACCCUGAUCCAGCCAUGCCGCGUGUGUGAAGAAGGCCUUUUGGUUGUAAAGCACUUUAAGCAGGGAGGAGAGGCUAAUGGUUAAUACCCAUUAGAUUAGACGUUACCUGCAGAAUAAGCACCGGCUAACUCUGUGCCAGCAGCCGCGGUAAUACAGAGGGUGCGAGCGUUAAUCGGAAUUACUGGGCGUAAAGCGAGUGUAGGUGGCUCAUUAAGUCACAUGUGAAAUCCCCGGGCUUAACCUGGGAACUGCAUGUGAUACUGGUGGUGCUAGAAUAUGUGAGAGGGAAGUAGAAUUCCAGGUGUAGCGGUGAAAUGCGUAGAGAUCUGGAGGAAUACCGAUGGCGAAGGCAGCUUCCUGGCAUAAUAUUGACACUGAGAUUCGAAAGCGUGGGUAGCAAACAGGAUUAGAUACCCUGGUAGUCCACGCCGUAAACGAUGUCUACUAGCCGUUGGGGUCCUUGAGACUUUAGUGGCGCAGUUAACGCGAUAAGUAGACCGCCUGGGGAGUACGGCCGCAAGGUUAAAACUCAAAUGAAUUGACGGGGGCCCGCACAAGCGGUGGAGCAUGUGGUUUAAUUCGAUGCAACGCGAAGAACCUUACCUGGUCUUGACAUAGUGAGAAUCCUGUAGAGAUGCGGGAGUGCCUUCGGGAAUUCACAUACAGGUGCUGCAUGGCUGUCGUCAGCUCGUGUCGUGAGAUGUUGGGUUAAGUCCCGCAACGAGCGCAACCCUUUUCCUUAUUUGCCAGCGGGUUAAGCCGGGAACUUUAAGGAUACUGCCAGUGACAAACUGGAAGAAGGCGGGGACAACGUCAAGUCAUCAUGGCCCUUACGACCAGGGCUACCCACGUGCUACAAUGGUAGA
rnacentral:rRNA from 1 species